rnacentral:rRNA from 1 species
UCUUGACAUCCAGCGAACUUUCCAGAGAUGGAUUGGUGGCCUUCGGGAACGCUGAGACAGGUGCUGCAUGGCUGUCGUCAGCUCGUGUUGUGAAAUGUUGGGUUAAGUCCGCAACGAGCGCAACCCUUAUCCUUUGUUGCCAGCGAUUCGGUCGGGAACUCAAAGGAGACUGCCGGUGAUAAACCGGAGGAAGGUGGGGAUGACGUCAAGUCAUCAUGGCCCUUACGAGUAGGGCUACACACGUGCUACAAUGGCGCAUACAAAGAGAAGCGACCUCGCGAGAGCAAGCGGACCUCAUAAAGUGCGUCGUAGUCCGGAUCGGAGUCUGCAACUCGACUCCGUGAAGUCGGAAUCGCUAGUAAUCGUGGAUCAGAAUGCCACGGUGAAUACGUUCCCGGGCCUUGUACACACCGCCCGUCACACCAUGGGAGUGGGUUGCAAAAGAAGUAGGUAGCUUAACCUCCGGGAGGGCGCUUACCACUUUGUGAUUCAUGACUGGGGUGAAGUCGUAACAAGGUAAGCGUACGUGU